CUAUAUGGAUAGGCUAGGUAGCUAAGAAUCGUGGAACUAAGGUAAGUCCAAAUAGUAAGGUUAUUAAGGAUUAUAAGAAUACACAAGGAUUUACUGCAGAAGCAGUGAGUCAAGCAGUUGUAGAACUGAAUGUUUAAACAGUGGUAAAUAAUAAAUAAAAUGUCAAUACGACGUGAGUC
rnacentral:rRNA from 1 species